rnacentral:rRNA from 1 species
UACGUAGGGUGCGAGCGUUAAUCGGAAUUACUGGGUGUAAAGGGUGCGCAGGCGGACUGGUUAGUCUGGGGUGAAAUCUCAUCGCUUAACGGUGAAACUGCCUUAGAUACUGCCAGUCUUGAAUCAGCGAGAGGUUCGUGGAAUUCCGAGUGUAGCAGUGAAAUGUGUAGAUAUUCGGAAGAACACCAGUGGCGAAGGCAGCGAACUGGCGCUCGAUUGACGCUCAGGCACGAAAGCAUGGGGGAUCAAACAGGAGUUAGAAUGAUCCCCG